UACGGAGGGGGCUAGCGUUGUUCGGAAUUACUGGGCGUAAAGGGCGCGUAGGCGGCGUGUCAAGUCAGGCGUGAAAGCCCCGGGCUCAACCUGGGAACCGCGCUUGAGACUGGCAUGCUCGAGUUCGGGAGAGGAUGGUGGAAUUCCCAGUGUAGAGGUGAAAUUCGUAGAUAUUGGGAAGAACACCGAUGGCGAAGGCAGCUAUCUGGACCGACACUGACGCUGAGGCGCGAAAGCGUGGGGAGCAAACAGG
rnacentral:rRNA from 1 species